rnacentral:rRNA from 1 species
UACAGAGGGUGCGAGCGUUAAUCGGAGUUACUGGGCGUAAAGGGCGCGUAGGCGGCUUGCACAGUCAGGCGUGAAAUUCCUGGGCUCAACCUGGGGACUGCGCUUGAGACGUGUGGGCUUGAGUGGGGAAGAGGGUCGUGGAAUUCCCAGUGUAGAGGUGAAAUUCGUAGAUAUUGGGAAGAACACCGGUGGCGAAGGCGGCGACCUGGUCCUUGACUGACGCUGAGGCGCGAAAGCGUGGGGAGCAAACAGG